rnacentral:lncRNA from 1 species
CCCAGAUAUAAUCCUACACAGCUACAGCCACCGACUUUACUACAAUGGUACCAAGAAUACACGGGAGAUUGAGGUGAUGCAGAAACCAAAGGCAUUCCAACAGAGAGCAUUGAGCCCUGGUGUGAAGAGAACUGCUUGGAAUCCUGGCUCUGUCAAUAGGAUGUGUCUUGAAGCCUGUGCUCCUACUCCGAGGACCUGCUGUGUGGCUGCCAUGCUGAAAUCUCCUGCCAGCAUCCCCAGGGGAAUUCCUCUGCCUCCUUCCUGUGAUGGGUGUCUGCUUCCCGGACCACAUGUCUUCUCAUUCUGUGUGCUCUCCCCGUCCUUCUCCUGGCUGUCAUUCAUACUGUAGAAGCUUGCUGAGAGGACACUCAGGGGGACACUGUCCUUCAAAGUCUUGCCUGUCUGAAGGUAUCUAAUGCUUGGUUACAAGUACAGUUCCAGGUGAGAAGCCAUCCUGCCUGAGAAUAGCUCGGCCAUUAUCUUCCAGCACAGCCCAUGGUCUUGAAGCCUCCAGAGCCAUUCUGAUCCCUCACUGUGUGUGUGACCUGGCAGGGUUUCUCUGUCUCAGCAUUAGGAAACGUUACUGAGAGAUGCCUAUCGUUCUGGCCACCCAGUGUCCCUUUCAUACUGAAGACUCGUGUCCUUUGGCUCUGGGAUGUUUUCUUCAAUUGUUUCAUUUCCUUUGUUGUGCUUCUAAAAUUCCUGUUAUUCUCACAUUGCGAUGAGUUUUGCAUCUGUUCCUUCCUAAUUCUGCCCUUUCCCUUUCUUUCUGGGAAAUGUCUUCACUGUGUAUUUGAUUUCCUAAAAAUUCCCUCUGUAGGCUUUGCUACUGAAAACCAUUCAUUUUAGUGGAAUUUAGAUAUUAUAAAAUUAAAUACAUGUGUUUGCCACAUUAUUAUUACCUCGUAGCACUAUAUAGGCAUAAAUCCCUUAAUGAUUUUGAAUGCUAUGGUUUGAUAUGGAACGUCCCUUGAAGGUCUGUAUGUCAAAGGUUUAUUCCCUAACUCACUACUUAUUCAGGUGGUGUCCAUUAGAGCUGAGGCCUCGUGCGGGAGCAUUGGGGAAUGCUGUACUUGUGAGACACCGGCUUCUCACUGACCUGUGGAUGGGCUUCCAUUCCUACACGGUGCCCACAUAAUGGACUGUGACGCUCGAGGUCCACAGCACCCGGGCUAGUCAGUCUUGACCCAAACCUCCAAAAUAAGUCAAAGCCAACCUUCCCUUUAAAAAAUUGUAUGUGCCCCACAUAUUUUGUUAGACUAAGGGACACCUCAGAAACAUACUGGCUCAAUGUUUGUAAUAAAUCCCUUCAAGUUUUUGUAAUGUUCUCCUCU